AGUGAACGCUGGCGGUAUGCCUAACACAUGCAAGUCGAACGGCAGCACAGUAAGCUCUUUCUCUUACGGUUGGCGAGUGGCGGACGGGUGAGGAAUACAUCGCAAUCUACUUUUUCUUGGGUGAUAACGUAGGGACACUUCCGCUAAUACCUCAUACGUCCUACGGGUGAAAUUAGUGGAUCUUCGGACCUUUCGCGAUUCAAUUAGCCGAUGUCGGAUUAGCUAGUUGGCUGGGUAAAGGCCCACCAAGGCAACGAUGCGUAGCUGGUCUGAGAGGAUGAUCAGCCACACUGGAACUGAGACACGGUCCAGACUCCUACGGGAGGCAGCAGUGGGGAAUAUUGCACAAUGGGCGCAAGCCUGAUGCAGCAAUACCGCGUGAGUGAAGAAGGUCUUCGGGUUGUAAAGCCCUUUUGUUGGGAAAGAAAAAAAGCAGGAGAAAACACGGAUGUUCUGACGGUACCCAAAGAAUAAGCAACGGCUAACUACGUG
rnacentral:rRNA from 1 species